GUUCUGACUCUCCCCUGACAGAUACGCUUUUGCUCGGUUUCGGCGGUAGGACGGAAAGGGGUUUUCGAACAAUUCCCCCACGGGAUGUGAAACAUUUCUUCCCACCCCCAGGGGGAAGACUGAAAAUGAUACCUCUGUUGGCAAUUCUCCAUGGGAUUUCCCAUCCACAGGUGGAUUGGUUGUGAGACUACAGCACCUACUGACAAGGACGGAACCAGUCCAACAUUCUCCCUGAAACAAAAUAACACCCAAGGAAAACGAAACUGCCUCCUUGAUGAAUAAAUUGUAUUUCUCUGUGAGAAGAAAGACAUACGGCGAGGCAGUUAAAUGUCAAGAAAAAUCACAUUCAGAAGCGCAUCUGAAAUUAAAAGUAUGCCAUGAGAUGUGACAUUCUUAACUUCAUUGCUACUGAGUAAUUGUUAAUUAGAUUAAUGACUGUCCGGUACGCUGAGCUGGAAACUUCAUUUUCAUGCAGUAAGGUGUGAGCUUGCUGCUUUGCCUGCCUGGGACUGAUCUGGGGGCUUCAGAAACAGCUGCACGAAGAAGUGCAGCCAUAAGGUUACUGCCACCGCAGCAAAAAAUAAAAAAAAAAAAAGAGAGGAAAUAAAGUCUCA